UACGGAAGGCAGCAGGGGGGAAUAUUGCACAAUGGGCGCAAGCCUGAUGCAGCCAUGCCGCGUGUAUGAAGAAGGCCUUCGGGUUGUAAAGUACUUUCAGUCGUGAGGAAGGUGUUAAGGUUAAUAACCUUAGCAAUUGACGUUAGCGACAGAAGAAGCACCGGCUAACUCCGUGCCAGCAGCCGCGGUAAUACGGAGGGUGCGAGCGUUAAUCGGAAUUACUGGGCGUAAAGGGCACGCAGGCGGUUAAUUAAGUUGGAUGUGAAAUCCCCGGGCUUAACCUGGGAAUGGCAUUCAAGACUGGUUAGCUAGAGUCUUGUAGAGGGGGUAGAAUUCCAUGUGUAGCGGUGAAAUGCGUAGAGAUGUGGAGGAAUACCGGUGGCGAAGGCGGCCCCUGGACAAAGACUGACGCUCAUGUGCGAAAGCGUGGGGAGCAAACGAGGGAUUAGAUACCC
rnacentral:rRNA from 1 species